UACGUAGGUGGCAAGCGUUGUCCGGAAUUAUUGGGCGUAAAGAGCUCGUAGGCGGUGUGUCGCGUCGGAUGUGAAAGCCCGGGGCUUAACUUCGGGUCUGCAUUCGGUACGGGCAUGCUGGAGUUCGGUAGGGGAGACUGGAAUUCCUGGUGUAGCGGUGAAAUGCGCAGAUAUCAGGAGGAACACCGGUGGCGAAGGCGGGUCUCUGGGCCGAUACUGACGCUGAGGAGCGAAAGCGUGGGGAGCGAACAGG
rnacentral:rRNA from 1 species